UGAGAAUCUGGUCUUUUGAUUCUGGGAAUGAAUUAUAAGUGAGGAUAAUUGGUUUUUACCACAUGGUUGGUUGACUGUGUGAAUGGAUGGAUUGAACUUCAAAGCCAGAUUAUAUUCCCUGUUCUGCUUGGUAUGAAUCCAAUUUCAGUCAGAAAAGAUAGGCAGUGAAGCAGUUUUGUGCCUUGUCACACCCAUGUCUGUUGCAGAUGCAGUAAUAAUCUGUUACUUGCUGAGGAAAACAGAAGAUCUGUAUUCAAGAGAAAUGGUCUUUUUGUUUUAUAGGUAACUGAUACCAGGCAAUAUGUGAACAACAUUAAAUUGCUUCAUAUACAAGAAAAAAUAUUAAAAGAAUAAUAAAGUGCAGGAAUAUUUGCAAUUCCAAAAAUAAUGAAUAUACAAAGUGUUUAAAAAAUCAUAUUGUUCAGAAACGAGAACUCUGUUCUUUCAUUAUCAGGUUUUUACUCUUUUGACAGCUGCAGAAGUCAAGGCUGACAACAAAGGGAUGGUGUAGCUCUUCAAAAUGGAUCUUACAUGGUUCCACCUGGAGCAUCCUCCUCUCAGUAACAUCUGCUGCACUCCCAAAUGGAUCCCCAUGUGCAGUGUGUGCAUCCACCUAGAAGAUCAUGAGGCAGUGGUAACUAGCAGCAUUCCUGCAGGCUUAAACACUGAAAAUUACUUCACAAGAUGGUUUUCUGAUGUUCUUCUGAAUUUCUUCUACAACAGUGAAGCAAUGAGCUACCAAGUAUAGUUUAGCCUAAUCUGAAGGACAUGGAUCUUUAACAGAGCUUUCACUUUUCCAGGUAAUUGUGGAAGAAAAUUAACAACCCAACUCCUUGCAAACAUGCAGCUCUAGUUGAUUCUUAGUGAAGAAGAGACCUUUAUAGACAGGCUUAUAAUGACUAAGAAAGGAAAAAUAAAG
rnacentral:lncRNA from 13 species